rnacentral:rRNA from 1 species
GGAAUAUUGGACAAUGGCCGCAAGGCUGAUCCAGCCAUCCAGCGUGCAGGAAGAAGGCCCUAUGGGUUGUAAACUGCUUUUGUCAGGGAAUAAACCUGUGGAUUUACUCCGCAGCUGAAGGUACCUGAACAAUAAGCACCGGCUAACUCCGUGCCAGCAGCCGCGGUCAUACGGAGGGUGCGAGCGUUCUCCGGAAUUACUGGGUUUAAAGGGUGCGUAGGCGGCCAAGUAAGUCAGGAGUGAAAGUUUGCGGCUCAACCGUAAAAUUGCUUUUGAUACUGCUUAGCUAGAAUCAGGAUGAGGUUAGCGGAAUGUGGCAUGUAGCGGUGAAAUGCAUAGAUAUGCCAUAGAACACCAAUUGCGAAGGCAGCUGGCUAGACCUGUAUUGACGCUGAGGCAUGAAAGCGUGGGGAGCGA